GACGAACGCUGGCGGCGUGCUUAACACAUGCAAGUCGAACGAUGAAGCUGGAGCUUGCUCCGGUGGAUUAGUGGCGAACGGGUGAGUAACACGUGAGCAAUCUGCCCUUGACUCUGGAAUAACUGCGGGAAACUGUAGCUAAUACCGGAUACUUUCACUGGAAGGCAUCUUCUGGUGACGAAAGAAUUUCGGUCAAGGAUGAGCUCGCGGCCUAUCAGCUUGUUGGUGAGGUAACGGCUCACCAAGGCGACGACGGGUAGCCGGCCUGAGGGGGUGACCGGCCACACUGGGACUGAGACACGGCCCAGACUCCUACGGGAGGCAGCAGUGGGGAAUAUUGCACAAUGGGCGCAAGCCUGAUGCAGCAACGCCGCGUGAGGGAUGAAGGCCUUCGGGUUGUAAACCUCUUUUAGCAGGGAAGAAGCGAAAGUGACGGUACCUGCAGAAAAAGCACCGGCUAACUACGUGCCAGCCGCCGCAGUAA
rnacentral:rRNA from 1 species